UUUUAGACAUCGUUACUUCAUGUGUGAGGAUUGGGAGAGUGGUGUGAGACUUUUGUUGAUCACAUGGAGUAUCUUUCGUAGCGUGGGAGCCCUCAGUUGAUGUGAAUUGAACAAGGGAAUACACAAACCUGCGUGGAGUUACUUGAAGACUUAAUUCUGUUCAUUUUGGACCUGAGCGUGGAGUAUUCCUGUCCAUUGGAUGAGACUGUUAUUGAACUUCUACACAGAGUUUAAAGAAGUACUUCCACUUAAAUACUCAGUUUUCUUUGAAGAACCACUAGCAAGAAGAAAAGCUACUUCCAAAAUACCCUGCUGGAUGAUUUUUAUGGCAUUACAAAAAAUGCUGCUAUCUCUUUCUUCUUUAUUUCCUUUGUAUUUUUCAAGCAGAUUCUUAUGAUUCCUACUCUUUAUCAAGGAUGUUGUACUACUGCUUGGUUUAGAAGAAUUAACUUGUUUUAUGGAAGUCCUUGAAAUUAGUCGCAUCCAUCUAAGAUCCAUAGGAUCUUUGGAAGAGGGGUUUUGACGGAUGUAUCUGUUUGUCUAAUUCUGUCCAAAGCAUCAAUCCCAGGAAUUUUGUGAACUCUGGUAAUUGGGAAUUUGGGCAGUCAGUUUAUGCCUAUUUGGAGAGUAGGUAUGACAGUGUUCUAUGGUAGUUAUGCCAGCAGAGUCCUCCUUCACGGCAAUUGUGUUGUUUAGUAAUUCCUAUAGAUUUCAUAUGCAGAACAAUGGAGAUGUAGAAGUGCAGUAGGCCAGAGCCCAUGAAUCCUAAUCUUCUAGGGCAUCUCUCUGUAACUUCUGUGAAAUUAUAACCUAAGGUUUUUACUUCUAGCCAAAGAAGAAAAACUAAUGCUUGGUUACAUGAUCACAACAAUACUAAUGGAAAUCCCUGCAGAGGCAAAAGCUCAGGUGUUACACUACAUUAUUUUUUUAGGUCAUUGAACAAGAUUUACAAGAGAAAAUCUGAAGCCAAACAAAAAAAAAAGCAUUCCUGUACAAUCUUCAGAACAGUCUGCAAGAGGUUACUGUAUUUAUUGUUCUUUGUUAAGAUUUUAGUAGCUAGUAUUAAU